GAAAAGCUCAAAUUUAAAAUCUGGCGGCCUCUGGCCACCCGAGUUGUAAUUUAGAGAAGCGUCUUCCGCGCUGGACCAUGCACAAGUCUCCUGGAAUGGAGCGUCAUAGAGGGUGAGAAUCCCGUCUUUGGCAUGGAUGUACCAGGGCUUUUGUGAUGCGCUCUCAAAGAGUCGAGUUGUUUGGGAAUGCAGCUCAAAAUGGGUGGUGAACUCCAUCUAAAGCUAAAUAUUGGCGAGAGACCGAUAGCGAACAAGUACCGUGAGGGAAAGAUGAAAAGCACUUUGGAAAGAGAGUGAAACAGUACGUGAAAUUGUUGAAAGGGAAACGCUUGAAGUCAGUCGCGUCGACCGAGACUCAGCCUCGCCUUGGCUUGGUGUACUUCUCGGCCGACGGGUCAGCGUCAAUUUUGCCCCUCGGAUAAUGGCAAGGGAAAGGUAGCACCUUUAUAGGUGUGUUAUAGUCUCUUGUCGCAUGCGAGGGUCGGGAUUGAGGAACUCAGCACGCACCUCUCGGUGUCGGGGCUUCGGCCCACGCUACGUGCUUAGGAUGCUGGCGUAAUGGCUUUAAACGACCCGUCUUGAAACACGGACCAAGGAGUCUAACAUGCCCGCGAGUGUUCGGGUGGAAAACCCGUGCGCGUAAUGAAAGUAAAAGUUGGGACCUCUGUCGUGGGGGGCACCGACGCCCGGACCAGACCUUCUGUGACGGAUCUGCGGUAGAGCGUGCAUGUUGGGACCCGAAAGAUGGUGAACUAUGCCUGAAUAGGGUGAAGCCAGAGGAAACUCUGGUGGAGGCUCGUAGCGAUUCUGACGUGCAAAUCGAUCGUCAAAUUUGGGUAUAGGGGCGAAAGACUAAUCGAACCAUCUAGUAGC
rnacentral:rRNA from 1 species